UACGUAGGGGGCAAGCGUUGUUCGGAAUUACUGGGCGUAAAGCGCGCGUAGGCGGCUUUGUAAGUUAGAGGUGAAAGCCCGGGGCUCAACCCCGGAACUGCCUUUAAGACUGCAUCGCUUGAAUCCGGGAGAGGUGAGUGGAAUUCCGAGUGUAGAGGUGAAAUUCGUAGAUAUUCGGAAGAACACCAGUGGCGAAGGCGGCUCACUGGACCGGUAUUGACGCUGAUGUGCGAAAGCGUGGGGAGCAAACAGG
rnacentral:rRNA from 1 species